GACGAACGCUGGCGGCGUGCCUAACACAUGCAAGUCAACUUGACUGAAGGAGCAAUCUGACAGUAGAGUGGCGCAAGGGUGCGUAACGCGUAAGUAACUUGCCCCAAGGUAAGGAAUAACGUCGAGAAAUCGGCGCUAAUACCUCAUAAUGCAGCGGAUCCGCAUGGAUAUGUUGUUAAAGGUUUACCGCCUUGGGAUAGGCUUGCGUCUGAUUAGUUAGUUGGUGUGGUAACGGCACACCAAGGCUACGAUCAGUAACUGGUCUGAGAGGAUGAUCAGUCACACUGGAACUGAGACACGGUCCAGACUCCUACGGGAGGCAGCAGUGAGGAAUAUUGGGCAAUGCUCGAAAGAGUGACCCAGCAACGCCGCGUGGAGGAUGAAGGUAUUCUAUAUCGUAAACUCCUGUGAGAGCAGACGAAAGACAGAUUAUUAAUCUGGAUGACUGUAUGCUCAGAGGAAGCCCCGGCUAAC
rnacentral:rRNA from 1 species